rnacentral:rRNA from 1 species
UACAGAGGUCUCAAGCGUUGUUCGGAUUCAUUGGGCGUAAAGGGUGCGUAGGUGGCCUAAAAAGUUUGAUGUGAAAGCUCAGGGCUUAACCCUGAAAUGGCAUUGAAUACUGUUGGGCUGGAGGUUUGGAGGGGGGACUGGAAUUCUUGGUGUAGCAGUGAAAUGCGUAGAUAUCAAGAGGAACACCAGUGGCGAAGGCGAGUCCCUGGACAACACCUGACACUGAGGCACGAAAGCCGGGGGAGCAAACAGG